UGAGGAAUAUUGGUCAAUGGGCGCAAGCCUGAACCAGCCAUGCCGCGUGCAGGAAGACGGUCCUAUGGAUUGUAAACUGCUUUUAUUCGGGAAUAAACCUCUUUACGUGUAGAGAGCUGAAGGUACCGAAUGAAUAAGCACCGGCUAACUCCGUGCCAGCAGCCGCGGUAAUACGGAGGGUGCAAGCGUUAUCCGGAAUCAUUGGGUUUAAAGGGUCCGCAGGCGGUCUUAUAAGUCAGUGGUGAAAGCCUACAGCUCAACUGUAGAACUGCCAUUGAUACUGUAAGACUUGAAUUCGAUCGAAGUGGGCGGAAUAUGACAUGUAGCGGUGAAAUGCUUAGAUAUGUCAUAGAACACCGAUAGCGAAGGCAGCUCACUAGGUCUGGAUUGACGCUCAGGGACGAAAGCGUGGGGAGCAAACAG
rnacentral:rRNA from 1 species